rnacentral:rRNA from 1 species
UCCGUAGGUGAACCUGCGGAAGGAUCAUUAUAGAGUUUGCGCGGUUGCUGCUGGUUCUUACAAGUGCACGCCGUGUCUUUCUUAUCCACCCCACCGUGCAUCCCGGCGCGCCUCGUCUUUCGACGGGGGGCGGUCCGUUUUUUACACCUUACCUUUUGUAACCGAGCGAAUGAAAUUGAUUUAACAAUGUACAACUAUCAACAACGGAUCUCUUGGCAUCCCACUCGAUGAAGAACGCAGCGAAUUGCGAUAAGUAAUGUGAAUUGCAGAAUUCAGUGAAUCAUCGAAUCUUUGAACGCACCUUGCGCCCUCUGGUAUUCCGGAGAGCAUGCCCGGUUGAGUAUUAUGAUCAUCUCAAACCUUUUGCUUCUGAUUGCAAAGGUCUUGCGUUUGGCGAAGUCGUCUAUCGAGGCGGCGGUAGCUGAACCUGGACUUGGAAGUGUAUUGGUCUUGGACUUGAGCGUCUCGUCGGUCCGCUUGGAUCGACCCGCUUGAAAUGUAUUAGCUGGCGACCCGCCUUACGGUUCCACUCGGCGUAGUAAGUCUUAUUCGUCGAGGACGCCUCUUUGAGGUGGCCUAUGGGUUUGGUGUGAUGCCGCUUCCAGUCGUCUUUGGACAGUAUUGAACCUUUAAUCUCAACUCGGGUAGGACUACCCGCUGAACUUAAGCAUAUCAAUAAGCGGAGGA